GGAUCAGAAAAUGAAGCGUGCUUGUAAAAAGAUUCCUGCAACUAGUGACUAGGGAUGGACUUUUCAUAAUUUGGAAAUGGGACUUAGAUUACAAGGACAAGGCUAUUGUUUCAGACAGUUUUUGCGCAUUCAAAAGUUGUCAACAUGGUAUGCUUGAUUUUUGCUGGACUGAUUGUCGCAUAAUCUCUUACGCAGCUACAAUAUGCUGGAUAGAUGCUGCUACUUUAGUUGCUACAAUCUGAUUAUGCAAGGUUUCUCUCUCUUUCUCUCUCUCUCUUCUGGAACUUAUUCUUAUCAUGUCUCUAAUUUUAAUCUUGGGUGUUUAUCUCAACGCUCCCGUCCCCUGUGCACAGGGAAAACCCAAAAUCAACUCAGCAGUGCAGUUUAUACAUCAAAUAUUUCAUCAUGUAUACAGGAGUUUUAAUUGAUUCUUGCCUUUGUAUCAAUAAAGAAGGCUUAUUUUUCUGAAUUAUUUUGUGCUUUAUGGCGUAAUCUAAUAAUCUCAACCAUUUUCUACGUUCCUCAUCUGAUUAGUGUUUCUGGGGUAGACAAACAACUAAUAAUCACCUAGAGAAUUGCCUUUACCCUUGAUUGCAUUUGCCUUUCACUAUAUUUAUGUGUGAGCAUGUCCUGAUAUGUGACCAACAAAGUUUUAUAGAUGACCUAGCAAUGCGGAUCUUGCCUAAUCAGGUUGUAUAUGUUUUCAUGAAAUCAUUAUCGCAAAUAAAUAUUAGUUAAAAGCAUAACUGAAGAUCUACCAUGGUGAAUAUAUAGCACAAUCAUCUUUUCACUUUGGAAAUCAUGUUUUGAAGUAAUCCCAUUUUUAAUAUUUCCCCUAAGACUGAUGUUAAUAUGAUUAAUUAUGAAAGGACACGGACUAACAGCUUGUUCAUUACAUUUAAACACCCAAAUACUUAUGCUCUGCCAAAGAAAUAAUUUGUACAGUAGAACCAAGGGAUUUUGCCCUUCCCUUGCUGGAAUGCUGUACCAAUUUCUGAUAGCAUUUUAGUUUUUAUAAAUUUGUUCUCCUUGCAACAUGAACUUCUAUUUAUGUUAAAAAAAAAUUAAUUCUAGUUUAAUCUUUUAAAUUGAGAAGAUAUUUUGAAAGCCUUGUAUGCUCCUGUGAUAUUAUGUUUUGUGUUUACCCAUGGUGUUACAAAGGUGGGCUGAGCGUGCUCUUCCUGCGGAACAUAACAUUUGGAGGGCUUUGAUUCUGUAUGUUGGAGCUGGUGCACUUCAAGAGGCAUUAGCAUCACUUCAUAAGGCACAACAACCAGACACAGCGGCCAUGUUCAUCCUUGCUUGUCAUGAAAAGCAUGCAGAAAUAGUUGCUGAUUUAGGAGAUUUAGAUGAUGAAUCUAGUUCUUCUGUGAAGGAUUAGCUGUGUAACUUGCUUGGGUUGGACCCAUAGAAUGAAGAUGUAAUUGCAGUAGAUGAAUGUUAUGGGCAAUAUCAAAGAAAAUUGCCUCUGUGCAUGGACUCAACCAUUCUCUGACUCUGACUGAAAUUACUGGGCUCAGUCAUAUCAUAUGCAAGUGUUUUUACAGUGAAAAUUGGCAAAUAUCUUCUGGAUUCAUUAUCAAAAGAUGACUGAGUAAUAUAAUAGGCAGUUGGUAGUGGAUGAUCUUGAGCGGCUCGAGAGAAGGGAUUUACCAGUCCGCAUAAACACGGAAUAGGAUUGGAUGACGAAAAUUUAGUUUACUGGUUUUUGGCAAAGUUGUCUGUAGAUAAACAUUACAGGAAGGUUGAUUAUAGUGUUGUAACUAAUGUAGAAAAUUUUGUCAGCAAGAACAUUCACAUGCACCAUAUAAUUGGUAGGAAUGAUAUCAGUUCUUAGAGAAAGAAUCAAUGUUAUUCCUUGAUUUUGUACAACACUACAUUAAAUCAUAUUCUUAUUUGUUGUCACCUCCUUCUGGCAGUUUUGCAAAGAUGAUAUCUGGAGUUCUGGACCUGUCUCAUUCUGUAACGCUAUAUUUGGAGUUUAUGGUUGGUUGAUUUAGAUUCAUUGUUUUCUCCUUAUUUCUCUCUUUUUUUCUUUUUUUUUUCCUCGAGUGCUUGAUUGCCGUUUUAAACUCCCAUUUAUUACAUCAUUUACCUUUAUCUUCCUCUUUUUUUUCUUUUUCUUUUUUGUGGAGAAUCAACCUUUAUCUUCAUUAUAACUCGGCCCUUUUCUCAAUUCUCAAUUCAACCGUUCACUUCUUUUCUUCAAUUAAACCGUUACCACAGGACUCUCCGACUCACAUUCUCUUCAACUGAACUUUAGCUAUCAAAGUAUCACCAUUAUUCGCACCUAUUCAAUCGCAUUGUGCAUUUCAGCAUCCAGUGCAGGGCCUUCCUUUCUCCUUCCAAUCUUGAGAUUGGCAACAAAAUGAAAACAUAGCCUACAUAGGUUUUGUCUUUAAAAGACAUCGAUGGCAACAAAUGGAUCAGCCUCUCUAUUUGCAAAAUAUCAAGACAUGGAAUUCAAUUAAUAGGGUAAGAUUUCCGUAUAUGUCCAGGUUAUAACAGGAUUAGAAAACAUGGGAAUAACACUGGAUAGCAUAAAAUAGAUGCAUCUUAUAAUUACAGCAAACAGCACGAAUGAAUAAUUGUCAUGCAAAUAAUUAGAGACAAUAAAUUAGGUCAAAUGAACAUUUUUAGAAUGCAAGGCUUUUGAUUUGAGAAAUUGAAAUGUAUGAACUGCAGCAAGCCCAAAUUUGACGCCAGACUCAGAACAUAAAGGAGCACACUGCAAACCAGGAUUGGAUUCACCAUCUCUAGGUCU